rnacentral:rRNA from 1 species
CCACGGGCGGCAGCAGUGGGGAAUAUUGGACAAUGGGCGAAAGCCUGAUCCAGCCAUGCCGCGUGUGUGAAGAAGGCCUUCGGGUUGUAAAGCACUUUCAGUGGGGAAGAAAGCCUUGGGGCUAAUACCCUCGAGGAAGGACAUCACCCACAGAAGAAGCACCGGCUAACUCCGUGCCAGCAGCCGCGGUAAUACGGAGGGUGCGAGCGUUAAUCGGAAUUACUGGGCGUAAAGCGCGCGUAGGCGGUCUGAUAAGCCGGUUGUGAAAGCCCCGGGCUCAACCUGGGAACGGCAUCCGGAACUGUCAGGCUAGAGUGCAGGAGAGGAAGGUAGAAUUCCCGGUGUAGCGGUGAAAUGCGUAGAGAUCGGGAGGAAUACCAGUGGCGAAGGCGGCCUUCUGGACUGACACUGACGCUGAGGUGCGAAAGCGUGGGUAGCAAACAGGAUUAGAUACCCUAGUAGUC